CUCCAUGGCCAUCCAGUAGUAACCUGCUCGCAACAACUUCCUUGACAUAGUAUGCCCUGUAGCAUGGGUCCCGAAGGUACCGUCAUGUACAUCAUGCAUUAAUUGCUCUGCUUCAUGUUCAUCAACACAUCUUAACAAUACCAUGUCAUAGUUUCUCUUGUACAGAAUAUCUCCAUCUAACAGGAAUCUACUGGCCAAUCUCCUCAGGGUCUUCUUAUCUUGUUUGGAAGCACCUGGCGGAUACUCACGGCUCAGCAAGAACUGUUUGAUGUCGUAGUACCAGGGUUUAUAGUCAACCACAUUUUC
rnacentral:lncRNA from 1 species